rnacentral:lncRNA from 1 species
AAAAACAACUAUAUCCAGGGUUUAUUUGACAGAUAAGCAUGAAAAACAUGCUCUUUAUAUAUCAGGAACUAAAACACCUUCUGUCUGUUUGUUAGGUAUAACUGGAAAGUUGCGUUUACAUCCCUAUGAUGGGAGGCGGACUGAGAAAUUCUUGCCUUGCAACAUUCUCAGUGAUUUUGUGCAGAUCUGCAGUUCUCCCAUUCAUGUAGUUCUUUCCAAGCUAGAAGAUAGAAGAAGAGUUACAAGAGGGUGUUUCGUUUCUUUCAAGAGUUUCCAGUGGAAUGUUAUUCAUCAUUAAUGGGAGCUGAUCAUUAAGGGGAGAAAAAACAAGGGGAAGGAUAUUAAAGAGAAGGAAGACCUGAAGUGGAUUAAGUAAGGUAUUCUGCACAAGCCCUUUCAUUCUUCAAAGGUGACAGUCUGCCCUAUCAGACAGAAAAGAAAAGAAAAGAAAAAUUUUGUGGCACUUUAGACUUAUUGCUGUGUUUUAAUCUGAGCUUUUGUGGACAGGUCAACUUCUCCAGACAGUUUACCAUAGUAUUCUGACUACAAAAGUAUGGUUUUGCCAAGGCUAGUUUACAGAUGACCUUUCAUUUAUGCCAUCAAAAGCUUACGACCUUUAAAGCUGGGUUCUAUUUCCUACAUUUUCUCCAAAAACAAGUAUGGUGGCAAACUGCCACAUAUCUUCUUGAACAUAAUAUCACAAGACAUUAGCCUUGACAAAUCAAACACUUAACAGUAUUUUGUGUAUUGAUUUCAUGGUCAAAACAAAACCAAAACCCCUAGAACAGUUAAUGUCAAACUUAUCAAAAGUUUCUCAAUGAGUGAAAUAAUGAGAAAGAAGACUUCUUGAAAGAUGGGUUGUUCACCAUUGUACUCAGUUGCCUUACUGGUCCUCCUUUGUCAUAGGUAAGUGAUAUAUCUCCAGGUAAUUCCUCAGUCUCUUGGAGCAACAGUGAAACCCAACAGGCCUAGUCAGCACCAUGCAUGAGCUGACUGAAACAUGCCCCAGAAUCCUCUGCAAUCACAGAUUUACUAUGCUACAUGUCUUAGGA